GCGGCAGCGCGGGGCAACCUGGCGGCGAGCGGCGAACGGGUGAGUAACAUAUCGGAACGUAUCCUUUAGUGGGGGAUAACGCAGCGAAAGCUGUGCUAAUACCGCAUACGAUCGGGAGAUGAAAGCGGGGGAUCGCAAGACCUCGCGCUAAAGGAGUGGCCGAUAUCAGAUUAGCUAGUUGGUGAGGUAAAGGCUCACCAAGGCGACGAUCUGUAGCUGGUCUGAGAGGAUGAUCAGCCACACUGGAACUGAGACACGGCCCAGACUCCUACGGGAGGCAGCAGUGGGGAAUUUUGGACAAUGGGGGCAACCCUGAUCCAGCCAUUCCGCGUGAGUGAAGAAGGCCUUCGGGUUGUAAAGCUCUUUUGUUGGGGACGAAACGGUUACGGUUAAUACCCGUGACAACUGACGGUACCCGAAGAAUAAGCACCGGCUAACUACGUGCCAGCAGCCGCGGUAAUACGUAGGGUGCGAGCGUUAAUCGGAAUUACUGGGCGUAAAGCGUGCGCAGGCGGUUUUGUAAGCCAGAUGUGAAAUCCCCGGGCUUAACCUGGGAAUGGCAUUUGGGACUGCAAGGCUAGAGUAUGGCAGAGGAGACUAGAAUUUCUGGUGUAGCAGUGAAAUGCGUAGAUAUCAGAAGGAAUACCGAUGGCGAANGCAGGUCUCUGGGUCAAUACUGACGCUCAUGCACGAAAGCGUGNGGAGCAAACAGGAUUAGAUACCCUGNUAGUCCACGCCCUAAACGAUGGAUACUCGACAUACGCGAUACACUGUGUGUGUCUGANCGAAAGCAUUAAGUAUCCCACCUGGGAAGUACGUUCGCAAGA
rnacentral:rRNA from 1 species